rnacentral:lncRNA from 1 species
AUCCCAGCUUCCUUCUGUGUUCAUCCAGGUAAGCCCCAAGGGGCCUAUCUAUUGGUCCAAUAUCCUGUCAAUCACAUUUUCCAGUGCAGAUUCAAGUCCACCUACAAAGAGAGUGGCAAGGACAAUGUUCAAAAGAGGCCAUUUUACCAGCUGGGUGUGGUGGCACAUGCCUAAAAUCCCAGUGGCUCAGAGGCUAAGGCAGGAGGAUCUGAGUUCGAAGCCAGCCUGAGCAACUUAGUGAGGCCCUAAGCAACUUAGUGAGACCCUGUCUCAAACAAAAGAAAAAAAAAGCUAGGGUCAGGGGGUUUGCUGGGGAUGUGGCUUAGUGGUAAAGCGUCCCUGAGUUCAAUCCCUGGUGACAAACAAACAAACAAAAUGCUAUAUAUUAGUGCCCAGCAUUUUGCAGUCUUCCUGGUAACAAUGCCAACAGGGCAGGGGCAGGCUGCUUCCAUUUCAACCCCCUAGGAAUGCCCAGACAUGAGGAGACCUAACCCAGUUUGCCCUGAAGGUCAGAAUCCAAAAUUUUGCUCUCUGCCACUCGUUUAAAGCUUUGUACAAUUUGGAGAUGUAGCUUAGUGGUAGAGUAUUUUCGUAGCAUGUACAAAAUCUUAGGCUCAGUCCCCAGAGCCACCAAGGAAUUUAAAAAAAAAAUCUAAUUAAAACAUUGUACAAACCAAUACAUCCCACAGAAUUGGCCUCUCCCACCCACAGCAGCUCCCCUGGUACUUUGUCUCUGUGAGUCUGGGAAUCAAACCUGUGGGUUGAAUCCUAGCUUUGCAUUUAUCAGCUGUGCCAUCACAAGUAAGUUAUUUAUCCUCUCUGAGCCUCACAUGAUUGAUACGAUGAUUAAAUUAGAUGACAUAUAAAAAGCCUGGCCCUUGGUAGGCCCUGAGUGACUCCCACCUAGGAGGUUGCAGGACUUGGUGUCAGAUUCCUGCUGGAGGAGUUCCUUCCUGUCUUUCCAGGCAUGGUAUCUCAGGCCUGUGGCCUGCACUGUCCCUUCCUCACACCCAGGAGCAUCCUAGUGCCUCAGACUCCUCCCUGUGACGCUGUGGGAAUCUUGAAACUUGUCCACAGAGGUGCAGAAAGAACUGAAUGCAAAGCACCCAGAAGCUAGGACACGAGUGACAUUCAAGAAAUGACAGCUAGCCAGACACGGUGGCGCACACCUGUAAUCCCAGCAUUUCGGGAGGCGGAGGCAGGAGGAUCAUGAGUUCAAAGCCAACCUCAGCAAAAGUGAGGCACUAAGUUACUCAGUGAGACCCUGUCUCUAAAUAAAAUACAGAAUAGGGCUGGGGAUGUGGUCAAAUAUCCCUGAGUUCAAUCCCUAGUACCUCUCCCGCUCCAAAAAAUAAAAAAAGAAAAAGAAAAGAAAUGACAGAUAAAUCAGGCUCUGUGGCUCAUGACUGUAGCCAAGACAGGAGAAUCACAGGUUCCAGGCCAGCCUGCACAACUUGGUGAGACCCUGUCUCAAAAUAAAAAAUAAAGUCAGGCAUGGUGGUGCAUGCAGGUAAUCUCAGUGAUGGGAGGCUGAUGCAGGAGGAUUGCCAAAUUAAAGGCCAGCCUCGGUAACUUAGUGAGACCUAGUCUCAAAAUAAAAAAUUAAAACAGAUUGGGGAUCUGGAGGUAUAACCCAGUGGUAGAGCAACCCUGGGUUUUAAUCCAGUACUGAAAAAACCAAAAGUGUGUGUGGAGGGGGGUGGACCAGAUCACACCCAGCUACUACCUUCUCAUCCAGAAUAAUUUCAUGACAAGUGUGAUUUCAGCUGGUAGAGGAACAGAGCUUUAGACCCUAUGAACCUGGGCAGGCUCAGCCUGACCUAGAAUCAGCUCGCUGGUGAAACUCCCUUCUCUAACAGAGCACAGGAGCUAGGGGAAGGGGACAUAUGACCAGAGGGCAGAGGACCUGGUGGCCAGCGAUGGUGAGAGCAGCAGAUUUGCCAUCAGAGAGACCUGCCUUCGAAGCCUCUCUGGGGCUGGGGACAUGAUGCAGUGGUAGAGCACAUGUUUAAGGCCCUGGAAAUGGAAAAAAAAAAUCUGUCUCUGCCACUUCUUGGCUGUUUGACUGGCUAGAUGACACCCUUCUCUGUUUUUCACCUAUAAAACUCUCAGUGGUACCUCUCUCAUAGGGUAGAAUUAAAUCACAUGACAGAGAGAGCACAUGACACAGCUGAGCUGCUUACAGUGGGCAGCCUGUGUUAUUUUACCAGGAGGAGGCCAAGGUGUGUGGGGGGUGCCUCUUCUUCACUGUUGUCUCCUCACAAGUUAAUCUUGUUCACUUUGCAUGGAACAAGCAAUGGUCAAUACAGAAGUAUCCAGACUCCUGCCGUCUUCCACUUACCAGCUGUGUGAACUUGGACGUGUGACUUCACUUCUUUGGUCCUCAGUCUCUGCACCAGUCCAAUGGGGACAGUAGGCUCUCUACCACACACAGUCGUGGUUGAGGACGGGUUCCUGUACAGGCCCCUUAGAUUAGCACAUGGAACACACCUGCAAAAGCUUGUCCCUUCGUGACCUCAGCCUACCAUGGCUGUGUGUGUUCUCAGACACUCUGUAGCCAUCUGUGUCUUAUAGAAAACCUUGAUGCCUCUCUAUUAUUAUUAUUUUUUUUUGAGCAAAAUUGACAAUUCAGGAAGAUGUACCCGAUUUUUAUCACAUGGCUUUGAGAGACCCGGCACGGGGCCAGCUUCACACAGAGUCACAUAUGUGCCUACCAGAGCACACGGGCCCACAGAUGCACACACUUCGAGAAGGCCGUGCUACGCCCGAUGCUUCCCAAAUGGGCCGAAACAAACCCUCUCGCCGUGAAGAGCUGCUCUGAAGCCCACUCAGUGCGCUCCCUGGCAAGGGAGCUGAGGACCUCAGCAGCAUCUUCCUUGACAAAACUCUGCAAGGUGAGUCCUGGC